ACUCCUACGGGAGGCAGCAGUGGGGAAUUUUGGACAAUGGGCGAAAGCCUGAUCCAGCCAUGCCGCGUGCAGGAUGAAGGCCUUCGGGUUGUAAACUGCUUUUGUACGGAACGAAACGGCCUUUUCUAAUAAAGAGGGCUAAUGACGGUACCGUAAGAAUAAGCACCGGCUAACUACGUGCCAGCAGCCGCGGUAAUACGUAGGGUGCAAGCGUUAAUCGGAAUUACUGGGCGUAAAGCGUGCGCAGGCGGUUAUGUAAGACAGUUGUGAAAUCCCCGGGCUCAACCUGGGAACUGCAUCUGUGACUGCAUAGCUAGAGUACGGUAGAGGGGGAUGGAAUUCCGCGUGUAGCAGUGAAAUGCGUAGAUAUGCGGAGGAACACCGAUGGCGAAGGCAAUCCCCUGGACCUGUACUGACGCUCAUGCACGAAAGCGUGGGGAGCAAACAGGAUUAGAUACCCUUGUAGUCCCAUGA
rnacentral:rRNA from 1 species